ACCAUUGUGAGUUUAUUAUUCCCUGAAGGACCAAAAGGGAAGGAAAAUAACGAAAAAAGUCUCGUGGAUGACAAAAAGUUUUGAUAUUUUCACGACUCAUCCCAAGUUGCAUCUUGCGUCGCUACAGUGCCGCAGGAAAACGAGAAAGGAGACUAUCGAAGAAUAUAAGAGGGGUGGAUAGAACGAGAGAGAGAGAGAGAGAGAGAGAAAGAGAAAGAGAGGAAAGACCAGCAGCAUAGUUGGAUACUGAAAAACCACCCAAUCCCUCCCUACUUUCUCUCUCUCUCUCUCUUCCCCUUCCUCCCUUCCUUUCUCUCUCAUGUAGGACUAACAUACGACUUGCAUUCAGCCGCACCACCAUUCAAUUCAUCGAAUUUCCAAAAUCUAGGAUUUCUACGGGCACGCUCGUGCUCGUAUAGGUGAAGAGGCUGCUGCAAGCAUCACUACAUCGUUGAAGAGAGAAAUAGGGGAAGAGAAAAUGAGAGAGAAAGAGAGAGAGAGAGAGAAAGAGAGAGAGCUGACACAGUGACACAUUAUGCCGUAAUGUGGGGGCACGUGGCAGAUGUAGCGGACUCGAGCCUAACUGGAUGCAUCGAUGUCUCUGAAAGUGCCAAUGUAAAACCGGUUCUUUCCUCGGUAUAAUUUCAUUGCAUAAAUUUCCAUUUUUCCGAAUAUCGGAAAAGAUGUUAACGUGAGAAUUAUCGAUAAAACGUUUUCAGAGAUAUUGUCGAUCAAAGCGUUCAACAAAGGGUAAGUUGUAAUAUAUUCAAAAGUAAAAAAGGUACCUUUAAAUUCAGCAUAUCUUCUUUAAGGACGUAUAUUAUUUUCUUGAAAAUUGAUCAUAAGGUAAAGAAGUAUUUCGCAAUUCAAUAUAUUUCUAACGGAAGGAAAGAAAGGGGGGAAAAAAAAAAAGUAGGCGGAUUUUGGAUACGGUAUAAGCGAUCCGAAGGGAUCCACCACUUUUUGUUUGUUACAUAGCGGUGCAGGCAUAUAAGUUUACUCCCACCGCAUUGCUUCCUUUGUCAAGAACUGUGCCAACAUGUCAAGAAUGUCUAGCUGCACGCGGCGAAGGGGACACAAUCGUGCGUUUUUCUUUUGGAUGCAUGCAGGGCAAGAACCGUUUUUGGGGUCAGAAUCCAUAAAACUCGAGGGUUUUUAGACCACGCACGCAACUACCUGAAGUAGUAGCGACGAAAAUGGGUGUACCGUAUGGGCGACUUCCGUUGCACGACUGCAUUCUGAUGGGCACGAAUUUGUUCAUGCCAAAGGAACAAUGAAAGCAGAUGCGAGACCAAACGACAACGGCAACUAAGAGACGAAGACGACCGAAAGUUAAUCUUUUAUAUGAAAGGAUGUUAUAUAUCUCUUGGUGCAUUAAGGCAUAAUCUAAUGAUACCUAAUCUACUUCACGCUUCAAUUCGUGAACGAAUGUGGAUAAAAGAAGAUCUCGGAGGGCGUGUCGAAGAGCAGAAACUUUCGUAUAAAUUUGUGUUAACGAUCGACAAAGUUACAAAAGCGUAUCAUUUAACGGGAAAGAUAAAUUAUUUAUGUACAUUGAUUACAAUUAAUUUCAUUCGUUUCAUUGAUAAAGAUUAAUCGUACUUUAUUAAGUCAUUGAUUUAUUUAAUGUCGUUCCAAAAAAUUUUGUUACGAUAUCUAUCGUUAUGUUUUCAAUAUUUUUUCGAAGAUAAUAUGACCAAACAGAUUGUAUAAUAAUAUUCUGUACUAUACUCUCUUUCAUCGGUAACAAGCUUUUAUGCAGUGAAUAAUCAAUCAACCCUUUAACGACAACCGCCGUUAUAACGGCAGACUUCUUUUUCUCUCUUCCUCUCUAUUCCCCUUUUCGUACCUAGCACCACUCCGACUCAGCUAUAUAAUGUAUCUACACUUUUAUAGACCAAGUACCCCACGUUGCCAAGUUCGCGCAUACGACCUGCAUUAAUCAACCGCCCACCGAAAAAAAAAAUCCAUAUCUCAUCAACUAUUUAAGCGUCCUCCUCUUCCAUCGCCAUCAAGCGCUACUGUACUUCGAGAGAAAAAAUUAAAAAUUAAAAUCACAAUUUCCCGUCCGUUAGCUACUUCUCUGUUUCUCUACCUCCUUUCUUACUUUCUCUCACUCUCUCUCUCUCUCUCUCUCUCUCUCUCUCUCGCGCGCGCGCUUGUAUCACGAGCCUAUCGAAGAAGAAUAUCACAGAAAAUGGAAGGUAGGAGGUAAAGAAAACAAGAUGGUAAGAAUGGUAAAAUAGAAGGAAAAAAAAAAUAAAGGACGAGGACCGGUCGAUGACAAGCUAGGACGAAGAGAUACAAAGAGAUAGAAAGAGAGAAAGGUGAAAAAAAAGGAGAUAAAAGAAAAGAUGCUCAACGUAAAUCAUAAAAAAGAAUGCGCGCAUAAAAAAGUCAAGGUUUGGUCUUCUCGAAACUGAAAAAAAGGAUAUAGCUAGGUAAAACGAAGAAAUCCACAUUAUAUAAACGAAGUAUAGGCAAUAAAGUGAAAAUCGUAUUAUAAGGUAAAAUGUAUAAGGUCGAUGUAAAACCGGAUGUUACAAAAUAUGACAGGUUUAGUAUACUUUUUACUCCAAUUAUAUAUAGAUGUUGUUCUUAAUUCAAGAACUUUUUCUCCAAGUGUCUAAAGGCCCACUAUUUCAUUUCAAGGUUUUUUUAUAGACAUGUUCGUGGAACAUCUUUUAAAACGUCUACACAAUUUUACGUUGAAACGAAAAUUAAAUAAUCGAAAAAAAAAAAGAUUCCAUAAAAAGAAAAAAAAGAAUAAAUAACGAAAAUUGGGAUGGGCAACCUUGAAAAAAAUUAAUUUUUAUGAAUGAGAAACGAUUUCGUGUUUUCUCACUUUAUCUACAUAAGUUAACAUUCGUUCGAGUUACCUUGCAACCCUCCACGUAUUCACGUCGGAAUGCAGUGUGGUGCGGUUUAACCUACAUACGCGUCUUUAACGAGAUUCUUCCAGCGUCAUGCACUUUGCCCUGGACAUGAGCAGAAACGAGGCAUAGAGGAGCGUGCGAUCAUUGGAAGAGAAAGAAUUUCAAAUUCGGGUCGAUGAACCCUUUUCGGUGAAGGCUUCAAAGUAGAAGAAGCGAGGAACGUAGGGCGAAAGGAUUCGUCCCUUCCAUCCGCGCGAACCCACACGGAUCUGUGCCACGGAGGGGUUGAAAAAAAUGUAUUGAGUGAUCGUGGGUGAGUCACUACUAUCGGCUGGGGUGAUAGCGCCUGGGGUGAGGCAAGCGGACUUUUUAUCUACAGGGAUUUGCAGCGAGCCUAGGUCCGGUUGCACCCUCAUACCUAACUCUGCCAGCCGUACCAUCGACCCAGGAGAAAGGAUGGUACAAGAGACAGAACGAAAGAGAGAGAGAGAGAGGGAGAGGGAGAGAAAAAAAGAAAUUAUUCAUGAGAUGCGCGCAACUUCUGUCCAUAGGCCUUUGCUACUUGUGCUUCGAUCACCACUACCGCUACCACUACCAUCCAUUUGGGAAGGGUUGUUCGAGAGAUUUGUUACGGGGAUUUCUAAGGUUCAUCGAUAAUUCCACUACCGUACCGGAAUCUGCUUGUAAAGGAAAUAUCCGUAACAAUUCUGAAUAAAAGAAAGAGAGAGAGAAAGAGAGAGAGAGAGAGAAAGAGAGAGAGAGAGAGAGAGAAAAUUAGUAUGCAUAAUAUCAAGUGGAGCAAACCCCGUCCCGUGAGAGAAAGAGGAUGAUCUAUUACGGGUAAAAGAAAAUCGUGAGAUAAUAUUAAGCACUCGUGAUUAUAACAAUAGAUGAAAUUAUCAAAAGAAUCGAAGAAAGAAGUUUCCAUAAGGAAAAGGGAAGAGAAAAAUGGAGGAUGAAGAAAAGGGAAAGAGUCUACGAAAUUUCUGCUGAAACGGCCGGUUCUUAGCAUGCCGACUUUUUUUUUUCUACGGAGGCCAAUUGCCAGAACGAAUAAAAUUUGGAUGAGUAAUGAGGCCGACGAUGCCAUUUAACAUUUUGUAAUCAGAGAUUCAACGCGGAGGGUGUUCGCGCGACGAAGAAGGGUACGCUGUACGUUCCUUAGGAUUGUACUCUCAGCAUAAAAAGUGCACCCCCACGGUAUUUCAUUCGCAACCACUACCACUACCAUCACCAUCACCAGCACCACCAUCAUCAACAUUAUUCUGGUUCUAGGCAGUGUCCUUAAUGUCGUACGAGGCAGCCGGUGCGCGCGCGUAAACCUAGUUCGUGCCGGCAGCAGCGCCAAGUAAUUUCGCUUAAAAACGUAAUUAGUGUGCCUCGAGAUGGGGUUGAGGAAAAAAAUCGUUAGGGGUAGCCAAGUUUUUUUCAUCGCGUGGGGUGCGGACCGAGGUAUGGCGAUGGGCAAGUAAGGGUGCCUUCGCCCGAAGACUGGGGUCCCACCCUUUGCCUCGCGCGUCGCUUUGCCCGCGUAUCUUUCUUUCCUGAUCAAAUCUUUGGGGUGGACUUCUCGAGUGCGCCAGAGCAACUCGCCCGUAGGAUAUCGAGCCGUACGUCUUCGAUACUGUAAGGAACUUGAAAGGGUAGAGAAAAGGGAGUAAAGAAGAGAGUGCAAAGGGAAAGAGGAAAGAAGGUGGAUAGGAAAAGGAAGAUGGUUGGGCAUGGAGGGUAGGAAGAGAGUUACAUGACUAGAUUGAUAGGCAGAAAAGAAAAGGGAAAAACUUCGCAUGGAGAAAGCAAGGUUCACACUCGUAUUCUUGAUCAUAUCGUAUAUAUUCCUAUUUUUCUAUAUUCUUCUCAAUUUACGUAGGCCAGAUACACGGAUAGUAUAUUCAAUAAAAUUGCAUCGAAGAAAAUACCAAUAUAGUAAUAUUUGAUCUAUUCUACCGUAAUCAAAUUGGAAAUGUACGAGUUCCAUGUUAAAAAGAGAAUUGAUAAAUGCAAUUAAAUUAUAUUGCAGGGAAAAAAAAAAUAAGCUGAAUAGAAUGACAAUCAUAGGGUAUUAAAAUUUCUUCCUUCUCAUGGAACUAUAGAUCCAGAAAUAAUUUUCACGUGAUAUGCGUAUGAUGACGUCGGACUAACGAAAUCUAUGAAUGAAAAGUGACACCCCUCGAUAUUGGUCGUGCAACGCCCAAAGCGUUAUGCAUCACCUUCGUAACGCCCUCGCUGGAUCGAGUGCAGAUCGAUUUGACACAAAAAGCACGAUAUCCUGUGAAAGCCCCUACAUACUUUUUAAAGACCUAUACGAUGGACCCUUGCAUCAUUUUUAUACCACUUUGUCUCCGCAACGCGUGUCUACGCUAUUAAUCGUCGAGACUUUGUACAAUUUCGAUAAGCCUUUUUCCUUUCGAGUAGGCACUUCGAUGAUCAAAAGAACGAAUCGAUUCGAUGAAAUCAAAUUGGACGGGGACACGAGACGGUGUCCUGUUAGACGUUUAAAUUCACUAAAAAGAAGAAAAGGAGAAAAAAAACAGAAGAAAAAAAAGAUAAAGGUAAUUUCGUAUCAUUUUCUCACUACUAUCUAUCUCUCUUUUACUCUGCGUUCUCUUUUCUUUCGUACAAAGAAAACGAACGUAAAGAAAAAUAAAUGUUGGUAAAAGAAAAGUGCCAGAGGCUGCAGCAUAAACACCCUGUCAAGUAUACGGCACCUGAGGCCACGAAUUAUAGGUUCAUACUCUUACAGUGGAUUUACGCAGGUACGAAUUUGCGUUACCACCCUCACGCCUUUUCCCUUAGUACCAAUAUCAACGCAAAAAUGUACUUCGGUUCGAACACUAAAAUCUGAUAUUAAUGAUAACUGAAAAAUCUUGACGGUGAAUAUCGGACCAAUAUUUUUUUAAAGAAUACAUUUAUAUCUAUGAAGUACAACUCCGUUUACAAAUUUGAUAAUGCAUUAAUUAUUUAAUAUACGAUAAUAAAUUAUUUUCACAUAGAGCAAGCAUCGGUUAUUUUUUAAAAUUCUUCAGUAUAUAAAUUUUUAAUGGUUUAUAAAGAACUUAUAAAAAGAGAGAGAGAGAGAGAGAAACUAUCACGUACAGUAAAAAUUCCGAAUGUUAUAAAAUGGUUCACCAUUAAAUGAGAAAUGAAGAUAAGUGCAUACGUGAGCUUCUUCCUUCUGUGUUUUCUUUUUUUCUUUUUACAUUUUGAUUCGCAAAAGAGAGUAAGCGAAGAAAGAAGGAAAACGAAGAACACGAAACUCUUCUGUUAACGGACGUGGAUAGUAAAAGAAAAAACAAAAAAAAAUGAAGAGAAAAAUAAAGAAAUAUAAGAAGAUAAAGAGUAAAAGAAAUAAGAACAACGUGGCGCGAAAGUCUGAUUACAAAUUUAUCAAGAAACAGUUCUUGGAACGUUGGUCUUCUUAGCAAAGGGUCGAACCUUUAAAUUCACCUUCGACCUCCGCCGUCGCGGCGAAUCUUUUGCCCAUCUUCGAAAGGGCGCGAGUUAGGUGAGAAGGAGGAUGGAGAAAGUGAUGGUGAGGAAAGAAGAGAGUGAGAGAAAGAGAAAAGAAACGGUAGGAAAAAAAGUAGAGAGUAAGUUUACUUCUGGACUCAUUGGCAAGGGCUGAUGGAGAAAGGGCCGAUGUUGGAAGGACAAGGGAAGGGCCGAUUGAAGCAGACAGGAUGUUUAAUUCAAAGAAACUGGAGACACGCCCCGCUAACUACGGAACGAGCUCGAAGACGUCGACCUUCGAAAGAGAAAAAUUCGAAGAAGAUACAGCCGCGAUUCUCUUUGCCCUCGCAAAUCUUGGGUUCUGCUCAGUAAUUGGUUUCUCUCUUUCUCUCUCUCUCUCUCUCUCU